CUUCGCUGGUUGUAGCGUGGUACUGGUUUCGACAUUUGGAAGCCCCUCGUUUAGUUAUUUUGAAGUUCAGAUUCUACACCAGCUCACUUGUGUGAAUCGGAGCCUCUCUCUUCUUUCAAUGUAUUGGAUGUAAGGCAACGCGAGUGCCGCUCCUCUUUUUAGAUUUGAGCAACUUGGCAUAAUGGGUGCUGGAUGUGAUUCGACGGCUGUGUUUUAGCCAAGACACCCAAAUACCAAUACACCCGAAAGACUCAUGCUUUCCUUUUUUCAUUUUUUUCGUUUGGAUAUUUCCCCCAAAUAGCAGAGUCUUUCGGCGGAGGUUUUCUUGUUCUUGGAACCUCAAAAACCCGGCAAGCGGUUCGAUUUGAACUGCGCUCGGGAGGUUAAAGGUGAUCGCCCGAGAAUAUUUGAAUAUGAGACCGAUGUAGGGACAAGGGAACUUGGCAUGACUUGCGUGAUUAUUAACUUCGUUAAUAAUUACGCAGUUCCGGUCCUAUUGAUUAGUACGCUGAUCUGAGGACUAAAAAUUAUGUUCUUGCAUUUCAACGUGGACCGUGGAAGAGGUCGGAGUGGUGUUAUUUUCUUGAACCGCGAAUUUCACAAAAGCUGGAUAGUCGAUAGAUUUAGGCAAAGUUGAAGUUGUACCCUCCCGUGCAUCCGUUAAAUACAUCCGGAGGAAGCGCCGCUACUGACCCCACGGAGUCAACGUUGGAAUUGACCAAAAAUCCAGCCAAGGCUCAAACCUUUCCGCCUGGUUCGAAGACUGCGCUGCGCGAACAAUACUGGCAGCCGCAACAGGCGUAAACCGGAAGUUAGGACCGCUCAUCGCACGCCCAGCUAGGAGUAGAACCCGUCGACGUAGCGAAUCACAUAAAUCCAUGGUAGAAGCGCCGCUACUGACCCCACGGAGUCAACGUUGGAAUUGACCAAAAAUCCAGCCAAGGCUCAAACCUUUCCGCCUGGUUCGAAGACUGCGCUGCGCGAACAAUACUGGCAGCCGCAACAGGCGUAAACCGGAAGUUAGGACCGCUCAUCGCACGCCCAGCUAGGAGUAGAACCCGUCGACGUAGCGAAUCACAUAAAUCCAUGGUAGUGAGUACCUUUUUUCCUUAUCCAUUAUUAACAUGCGCAUGUAGGAUAAGUGAUAUUGAGCAAAACGCUAUAAAUAGCUACUAACCACGAAAGCCACACAAUUCAAAGCCAUACACACACAAAUAAUGCAUGCAGUGGAGAGCUCACUCCAUAUGACUGUGUAAUUUCAAUCGCUAUAAGCGAAGCCAUUCAUGAAUAGCCUAACGGAGUAAAUAGCAAGCGCGCCGUCUUCUCAACCUAGAUGUGAUGAGAUCGAGACUUGGGAGGAAAAUUAGAGUAGAGUAAUGAAAUUUGAUUAAUGUUCUUAGAGUAAAUAAAUUUUCUAUGUUGAUGGAUGUUCUUUCCUGAUUGACUAAAUGUUCAAUGUAGAAGAGAAGUGUUGAUGAAGCUAAUUGAUUUAAGUGAUUGAGAAUGUUGUGAGAGAUGUUUUGAUAUUUAAUGUAGUGUAAAAUAAACUUUUCCGUUCGAUUUAUAUGUUAAGGUCUAAGAAACAAAUGUGUAUUUACUGGCUCGCGGUGGCCUAAACACCGACGAACCCGUUCACUCUUCUUUUUGUGUUAAUUAGGUCACGAGUCAGGGUGGAGACUCCUUUUUUUGUUUACUUCCACUCUCACUCCUACGCUCCGAAGCGAGCUCUGAAGUUGAGGGGAAGAUCAUUAUUAGUAGGUCCAGUGAGGAGACCUCAGCAUAAGUGGUAGUCAGUGGGAUCGACCCAGACUUCCUUGUGUCUGCAUUACGUCUCGUGGACAAACGAUAUCGCGGGUUCUCCCGAGAGUGCAGGAAAAAAGUCGCGAAGCUAACCGGGUUGGUGAGGAGAAAAGGACAAACCCGCCCUCAGUGGGUGUCUCAUUGCCGGGCAAGGAAAAUAACACGGCGGUCGGUCUCCCUCACGGGAGUGGCGCUUAAGCCGACCGCUUAUCUGCGCAAAUUCCCCGGUAGCGACGGGCUCGCGCGCUCC